GGAAGGAUCAUUAUUCAUAUAUGGAACAUAUAAGUGUUUCCUGACCCAAAACCUCUCUGUGUACUGAUCCAUGUUGCUUUCCCAGGUGGUUGGUUUUACUAGUUGUUUAACCCUUCCUGCUAGUUGAAUUUACUUUACUAUGUAGGCUCCUGGGAGAGGGCCUGUUCAAAGCAAACUAUUGAAUCAGCAGUCUGAGUUGGCCCAGUGCCAUAUUUUUUUGAAUGAAUUAAAACUUUCAACAACGGAUCUCUUGGCUCUCGUAUCGAUGAAGAACGCAGCGAAAUGCGAUAAGUAAUGUGAAUUGCAGAAUUCAGUGAAUCAUCGAAUCUUUGAACGCACAUUGCGCCUCUUGGUAUUCCUUGAGGCAUGCCUGUUCGAGCGUCACUGCAAACCCACUCAUAACUAUUAUGGUAAUGGUGGAUGUGAAGAGAGGCUACUAAUAUGCCUCAGUCACCCCAUUGAAAUAUAUAGGCAGGACAAUUAUCUUUAGCAAAGGACUUAGUAACUGUUUUGAAGACAUAUAUUAGUUUCUUGCUAGGACUUGGACUGACUUUUAUGGAUCUCCAUUAAAAACAAAUUCUGGGUUGACCUCGGAUCAGGUAGGGAUACCCGCUGAACUUAAGCAUAUCAAUAAGCGGAGGAAAAGAAACCAACAGGGAUUGCCCUAGUAACGGCGAGUGAAGCGGCAAAAGCUCAAAUUUGAAAUCUGGUACUUAUGGUAUCCGAAUUGUAAUUUGGAGAGGCAUCUUCCGAAGGGGUCCAGUCUAUGUUCCUUGGAACAGGACAUCAUAGAGGGUGAGAAUCCCGUUCAUGGCUGGAUAUAUUCUUCAGUAGGUAGUGUCUUCUACGAGUCGAGUUGUUUGGGAAUGCAGCUCAAAAUGGGUGGUAAAUUUCAUCUAAAGCUAAAUAUUGGCGAGAGACCGAUAGCGCACAAGUAGAGUGAUCGAAAGAUGAAAAGCACUUUGAAAAU
rnacentral:rRNA from 1 species